UCAGUAGAUUCAUCUCGUUCUUUGAAGCAGUUAAAACCCUAAUCUCUUUAAUUCCCAAUCGAAGCAUUUCCAGUUUUUCCACUUCCCCUCAAUCGGCACCAAAUUUUGUAUCUUUAUUUUAAAUUUCUUCACUGAUUAUUUCUCACUUUGAUCUUCGAUUGAGAAAAAUCACUUCUUUUUCAAUGACGCUUUUUCUCUCUUUUCCUUGGUUUUUUUUAUAAAUAAAUCCCUAUGAAGAAUUAAUCCCAGAAAUAAAUUAAAAGUAGUGGACCGAUUUAUUUCCACUGACGAAUUUCCAAUUCCGAGGGAUGAUUAACAUUUCAGCUGGUUUUGUUAAUUUUUUUAUAAAAUCAAAGUACAAAUUUCAUAUUUUUGUAUCUCAAUGAUGUUUGGAUAUAUUUCAUGUUAAAAGUAGCCUGAUUUAUUGAUGAUAAUUCCAUAUCUGAGAGAUGCCCAUGCUUGCCCUUUCCGGGUUUUCAUUGUUAUGUCUUGAAUAAUCUCUUUUUUUUUUUAAUUAACUCAGUUGUUGAUUAAACAAAUGUCAUUUUUUUAUUAAAAAAAUUAUUUUUUUAAUAAAAGUUUGCAUCCCUAUGAUGAAUUUCUAUUGAAUUUUAUAAGUUGAUAGGCCUGACUUGCUCUGAAGAAUAGGUAAUUUUGAGGGAUGUUAAUCUUCUUCUUUUCUUCUUAAUUUCAUCUCACUUUUAAUCUUGAUACGUUGAAGAUUAUUUUGUUUUUUGCUCUGUUUUUAAGGGAUGGGCAUAUCUUAACUAUGCUUAUUAGAUAAUCUAAUUAUAUUUAGUAAUAUGCUUCUUGAUUUUAUCUUUUGGAUUGGAAUUUGACUUGCAUCCCUGUGAAGAGUAAUCAUGUAAAUUAAAAGUAGUGGGCUGAUUUUGAUUGAUGAUUAAUGCAUCUGAGGGAUGCAUACUCUUAAUUUGUCAGAAAAAAACUGAUUAUUUUAUUUAAUUUCUAUCAAUAUGCUUGAAGCUUGAGAUUCACGUUUUGUUGUUAUUCUCCUUGAAAAUGGCUGGUUAUGAGCUGUUUCAGAAGUGAUUCUUUGUCUUUGUAAAUCUGGAAAAUUGUUUAGAUUAAGUACUUGCUUCUCAGCCUGUGUCUUUUGUGUAUUUAUUAGUUCUUUGCAUCCCUAUGAUGAUGGAUAUGCAUGUUAAGAGCAUGUUAUGAGGAUGGAUGCUUUGAAUUGUUAUUCUCUAGAAAAAAGCGUUUAAUUGGGAAAAAGGGUCUAAUGAACUUGAAUUUUCAUCAUGUUUGUUCCAUGUGCUUGCUAACAGGCUGUAGAAAUGGACAUUCUUGGCUAUUUUGACAUUCUUGACUAUUUUGAUAAUGAAGAUUUGUCAAUUUGGUUGAGCAAAUGCAUAGGAAAAAGAUUGAAAGAACCCAACUCAUGCGCUGGAGGCCAGAGUACAACGGCCGGAGAAGUUUUGAAGUUGUAAAAGAGUGGAUGUAUGAUGUUAGAGAUGUAGAAAGUGUUAAAAAAGCUCAAGAAUUUUGCUGUCUAUAUGAUGUAUUUUGUUCAUUCUAUUUGAUGUGGAAAGUGUUAGAAGUUUAAUAUUGGUAUGCAAAUUGCAUAAGCUUUUUUUUUUAUUUUUUUGAAGAGCACAAAUUGCGUAAGAUUGAAGUGCAAAUUGAGAAAAUGAUUCUUUCCCUCUUCCGUUGGACUCACCCUGUCACCCACUGUAUGUAAAAACACAAAGUUUUGAGGCUGAAAAAGCUUUCCUAAAAGGAAGCCCGCAUUUGUAAUCUUCUAAUGAACAAAUUAGUUGAAGUAAAGGGGAAUAAUCAUUUGGUUCGAGUAGGAUUUAUUACAGCUGCAGCCACCAACCAAUCCAAUUCCCCAUGGCAUCAGCUGCAUGCUCCAUGCAAUUAAAAACAAACGGUUGAAUAUGAAUCGCCCUGCCUUGAAUCACUCCACACGGUUCAAAUGAACAUCUCAUUCCGGCUUUAGCUUCUUCCUCAAAAAUUCAUAGAUUGCAUCUUCUUCACUCUGUCACCUCUGCCUUCUCAGCUUUGUCUUCAAGUCGUCACUGAUAGAUUUUAGAGAGUACAAGAACCUUGAAACUUUGCUUGUUGUUCCGAAGGACAAGUGGGCUUUAUUAACAUCCACUGUAAGUGGUCACACUUACAAUAUAUAGAAAGGAUACUUAUAGAGGUAGGGGAGUACAAUGCAGUGAAGGUUACGUGCUUCGGGAUGCUGCUGGACGUAUAUCCACAGGGUUUUUUCUGCUCCGGUCUCCUGCAGAACAUCAUGCAACGCAUAAUCACUGAACCCGACACAAUGGAGCAUGAGUUCUGGUUUGCUAUAGGCAAGACCAAGGCACGUUUCUCCAAGCGUGAGUUUUGCCUUGUGACAGGAUUGAAGUUCGGCCCCAUGACAGAUGUUUUCUCACGUCCUUACGAGCUAGUCCCUGGAGGAAUUCACUCCAGAUACUGGAAAGGGAAGAAUGUGAAGUUGCUAAAGGUGCUUGAGAGGUUCCAAAAAGGCAAAUUUAAGCAGCCAGGAGAUGCAACAAAGAUUGCUCUUGUCUUGCUCAUAAAUAAUAUUUUAUUCGGACAAGAUUAUAGAAGAUGUGUAACGCUAUGGCUAUUAAUGUUGGUCGAGGACAUUGAAGCCUGGAAUGUAUUCUCAUGGGGUCACUAUGUAUGGAGGUUGACUACGGACUAUUUAUUGAGGGGGUUCGAAGUUCCUCCGGUAACGUCAGAGAAGCCUAAACUUUUCCGCUACAACCUAUACGGAUUUGUAUGGGCGAUACAGUUCUGAGCAAUGGAAGCCAUUCCUGCUUUUGAAACUUAAUUGCCUUACACGUUAAGAAAGACAACGUUUAUCCACGAAUGUGUAAAUGGGAGUGCAAGCCAAAGCCGACGUUGUUCUACCAAGCGGUGAAAAAUGUAGAGUCCACUCAGCAGUUGUGGGCACACCACAUCUUGGAACCCACCCCGGAGGAGGAAGCAAUGCCAUAUUGGGUUGACAUAACUGUCCCUCUGUCUAAGGGACAUCAAUACGUUCCAAUAUGGCAUUUGAAGGAUCGAGUUGCAUGGGGUGUCGAUUUAAGAGAGAAGAGGAGAGCAUUGAAGCAGAAAAGAGCUAGUGAUGGCGUUAAGCGGAGGCACAUUGACGUAUCUGGAGAGGACAACCAGUCAUGCCCUCAUUUGAUGGACGAGGAGGACGACGAGGUCGAUGUCACUCCAGCUGCUCAAUCUCAGAGGCACAUGCCGCCGCCUCCUCAGACGCACACAGCAUCGCCAACAACAUCAGUUGCCCGUCGUCGUACAUCAGCACGAGUGCCACCUCAUCGCUUCGUUCACAUCGCCCAACCGUCGUUGCAAAGGGGGAAGGCAAAUGACGAUGUGGUCAGAAUGCGUGACUUGAGACGAGCUGUGGGCAAUCUGAGGCGACUAUGGAAGGAGGACAUGCAAUCAAUAGAGGAGCGGCUAAGGCAGGAGUGGAAAAAGGACAUGCAGGCACUGGAGGACCGGCUUGUACAUCGGCCUCUCAACUUCUCAGCAAUCACUAACGGUGAGUUUACCGGUCAACACGAUAGAACACCCAACGAUGAUGGCAAUACCCACGGGGUUCAUGGCAGUGGUGACGGUGUUGAUGGUGAUAGUGGUGGCAACUAGCAACUAGACAAGGUCUGUGAUAUAUGUGGUGAUGUUGGCUUUCAGGAACUGAUUAUAACUUGCUCCCAAUGCUCUAUCGGGCGUCACAAGUAUUGCAAGCAGGCUUUAGUGAUGGAUGUGCUUGAAGAUUGGGUUUGUGAAGUAUGUCUGAAAGCAGUACCAUCACAUUGAACAUGAUAGCAUCCAGACUUGAAGCUAAAAACAGAAGGCAAGGGCCAGAGCCUAAGUAUGUAUUUGAUUCAGUAUAUAUUAUAAGGUGGAUCACUGUAUCAAGGCUGUCAAUUCACGACCCCACUACAAGCAAUAUAUAUGUUGCAACUGUCAAACAUGGAUGUGGAUAACUUCUGCAACUUCUACAAUAGAGAAUCAUAUUGUUCAUAUUGUUUGUAAGCUGAACACAAAUGAAAAUCAGCCUUUCUUGUAUUUGAUAGAUAUGAAAAACA